UACGGGAGGCAGCAGUAGGGAAUCUUCCACAAUGGACGCAAGUCUGAUGGAGCAACGCCGCGUGAGUGAAGAAGGCUUUCGGGUCGUAAAACUCUGUUGUUGGAGAAGAAUGGUCGGCAGAGUAACUGUUGUCGGCGUGACGGUAUCCAACCAGAAAGCCACGGCUAACUACGUGCCAGCAGCCGCGGUAAUACGUAGGUGGCAAGCGUUAUCCGGAUUUAUUGGGCGUAAAGCGAGCGCAGGCGGUUUUUUAAGUCUGAUGUGAAAGCCCUCGGCUUAACCGAGGAAGCGCAUCGGAAACUGGGAAACUUGAGUGCAGAAGAGGACAGUGGAACUCCAUGUGUAGCGGUGAAAUGCGUAGAUAUAUGGAAGAACACCAGUGGCGAAGGCGGCUGUCUGGUCUGUAACUGACGCUGAGGCUCGAAAGCAUGGGUAGCGAACAGGAUUAGAUACCCUGGUAGUCCAUGCCGUAAACGAUGAAUGCUAGGUGUUGGAGGGUUUCCGCCCUUCAGUGCCGCAGCUAACGCAUUAAGCAUUCCGCCUGGGGAGUACGACCGCAAGGUUGAAACUCAAAGGAAUUGACGGGGGCCCGCACAAGCGGUGGAGCAUGUGGUUUAAUUCGAAGCAACGCGAAGAACCUUACCAGGUCUUGACAUCUUUUGAUCACCUGAGAGAUCAGGUUUCCCCUUCGGGGGCAAAAUGACAGGUGGUGCAUGGUUGUCGUCAGCUCGUGUCGUGAGAUGUUGGGUUAAGUCCCGCAACGAGCGCAACCCUUAUGACUAGUUGCCAGCAUUUAGUUGGGCACUCUAGUAAGACUGCCGGUGACAAACCGGAGGAAGGUGGGGAUGACGUCAAAUCAUCAUGCCCCUUAUGACCUGGGCUACACACGUGCUACAAUGGAUGGUACAACGAGUUGCGAGACCGCGAGGUCAAGCUAAUCUCUUAAAGCCAUUCUCAGUUCGGACUGUAGGCUGCAACUCGCCUACACGAAGUCGGAAUCGCUAGUAAUCGCGGAUCAGCACGCCGCGGUGAAUACGUUCCCGGGCCUUGUACACACCGCCCGUCACACCAUGAGAGUUUGUAACACCCGAAGCCGGUGGCGUAACCCUUUU
rnacentral:rRNA from 2 species